rnacentral:misc_RNA from 1 species
GAUGAAGAACGUAGCGAAAUGCGAUAAGUAGUGUGAAUUGCAGAAUUCAGUGAAUCAUCGAAUCUUUGAACGCACAUUGCGCCCCUUGGUAUCCCGAGGGGCAUGCCUGUUCGAGCGUCAUUAUAACCCCUCAAGCUCAGCUUGGUGUUGGGGCCUGCCGCACGGGCAGCCCUUAAAAUCAGUGGCGGUGCCAUCUGGCUCUAAGCGUAGUAAUUCUUCUCGCUAUAGAGUCCCGGUGGAUGCUUGCCAUUAACCCCCAAUUUUCUAUGGUUGACCUCGGAUCAGGUAGGGAUACCCGCUGAACUUAAGCAUAUCAAUAAGCGGAGGA